CAAAAGCAGAUCCAAUCUGAUAAACAUACCAGCUCUAAACAUUUUCUACUUAUCUUUACAUUAAUUGUACUAAACAACACAACUGCAGACAGCAAGAAAAGCCUGUUCUCACUAUCUCCUUUGUUGCCUACUCUAAAAUACAAGGCGUGUGUGCUUAGCAGAACAAUGCAGCUCUUUGUGCUUUUAUUUGUAGUUCUAGUAUCUGGCAAUUACCAGGGAAAAUAUAGUUUGAUAAGAAAUCAAAUCUGGUCCCACUCAAUAAAAAUGUUAAGUGUACAUUAAAUAUCCAUAGUGUCAAUUUAAUUUAUGCUUAGAAAUCAGAUUUAUUUGAUUUUCCAGAUUUUACUCAACAUUACUAUGAAGCCAAGCAUCUGUAAUCUUAAUAACAUUUUAAUAAGGUGAAGACAGGAACACAGACAUUUUGCUGCACAGAUAUAAGCCAAGAAUUUCAGCGCUGCUACUUAGGACACGUAGAUACGGAUGUGAAGUCAAGCACGUUGUUUACAGGUUGCUUCAGUUUCUUCAGCAGAAUACAAGAGGUGAGAGCUCAAGUAAAAACAGCUGAAAUGCGCAGAGUCACCGAGACCAGAGCUCUUGCAACAUGCUACCUACUUGGAGCAUAAACUGUCACGCUGUAACUGAACUGCAAGAGCGAAUCAAGGCACUACAGUAAUGAAGGACAGCCACUGCUAAGGAAGGAACGUGGCCAAAGUGCAGAAGGAACCUGACACACUGAAUGUUUACUGACACACUUCACACCUGAAUUUUGCCUACCUGCAGUGCGGCAGAGAAAAGAUGAACCAAGAGGAGACCCAAGUAGGACAGAAAUAUUUUACGCAGAGAUACAAAAAGCUAUUUGCGAACUCCAGACCAACAGGGGCAAAUCCGCUGCUCUGUUCUGUGGCUCAAGGAGGCCUGAGUGCAUGGUGUGCAGGGGGAUGAGCGAGGCUGCCUGGUCUGCUGCUAUGGGAAGAGCAUUAUAAAGGGGUCAGGGCAGGGGCCUGCAGGAAGGUGCUCAGGCUGCUCUGGCUACUGAGGUAAAAUAGCUGGCAGGGAGCAGCCCAUCAGCCUAGAAGGGAAAGACAGAUUCCCUUCCCCUCUACAUGCCCAGAGCCUGACUCAGUGCCAUGGGCUGGCCUCUGGAUUUUGCUCCCAGCAGCACAUGUGCAAGGCUCCAGCCAGUUACAGCAACUCGCAGUGAACUGAGUGCAUUUAUUUCUCCUGAGAGGUAAAGUCCAGGGAAGCCAUCCACGUACAGCUCUUUUCUAGGUGUCACCACCUCUACUGUGCAGGACAAAUACAGAAUACGAGUCCUGGCAGGUCGAGAACAUGGUCGUUUACCUUUCAAAAGCUACUUGACAUUUGGGGGUUACAGAUGAAGUCCUAAGUAGUUUCUGUAUUUUUCAAAAGCAUUCAAAUGCUGCUUGAAUAAUUGACAUCCAGCCUGGGAGCAUGGGGCCAACGAGAAAGGAGGAAUGACAACCUGAUCACCCCACUUCUCCCCACUGCAGCAAAUUUAAACCUAACCAAUAAGCUAGGUGCUGCUUGUGCCAUCCACAAGGCUGCUGGACGGCGGCUGUGCUGAUCUCAAACUCUGGUGUAUUUACGUUACCCUGAUUGUGUCAACCACACCGACUUGCUAAGAAUGCUGCUUGCAGCAGAUGGCAAUAUCAACGGAAGUGUUUCUAGGUACUGUCAAGCCGUCUGAAAUGUUUCUCAUUUACCACACUCUCCACAGCUGCACCACUCAAGUCUGUUGUGCAUACAUAUUUAAGUCAAAGCUGGCAUUAUUUGGCAGGCAGUGCACUCAUCUCCACUUGAGAGUUGCAAACAUGAAGCUGCUGGGCUGGAAACCACCUGACACGGCCAGUUCUCCCUCUGGUUUCUAAAGGGAAACUUCCCGUUCCAAGCUGGGUAUAUAGAAAGCCUUUGCACGGUUAAAUGUUGAGAAUGAAUCUACCUACCACGAUUCUGACCCCACUGUGAAGUAUUCUCCUCCCUUGAAAGCAACAGCACGGUGAA